UUGAACGCUGGCGGCAGGCCUAACACAUGCAAGUCGAGCGGAUGAGUGGAGCUUGCUCCAUGAUUCAGCGGCGGACGGGUGAGUAAUGCCUAGGAAUCUGCCUAUUAGUGGGGAUAACAGCUGGAAACAGCCGCUAAUACCGGAUACGAGCUGCGAAGGCAUCUUCAGCAGUUGGAAAGAAUUUCGGUCAGGGAUGAGCUCGCGGCCUAUCAGCUAGUUGGUGAGGUAAUGGCUCACCAAGGCGACGAUCCGUAACUGGUCUGAGAGGAUGAUCAGUCACACUGGAACUGAGACACGGUCCAGACUCCUACGG
rnacentral:rRNA from 1 species